rnacentral:lncRNA from 1 species
GGUCGCUGUAACUGUUGUUGGUAGGUUGUUCCAGUCCCUGAUUGUCCUCGGGAAGAAAGAUUGGCCGUAAGUGUCUGUACUUGUUCUUUCUUGAAGAAGCGGUUUUUACCUCUGGUCCGGUUAUCAUUCGGUGUCAAAUAUUGGUGACGGUCUAUAUCUAUAAGAUCAUGCUGGAUCUUAAAUAGCAUGCAUAAUCUAUUUGUUUUCCUCCGUUCUUCUAGACUUUCCCAUUUAAGAUUUUUAACCAUAUUUGUGACACAGCCAGGUGUUCGGUCUGUGUAGUUGUUAUUCACAAAUCGUGCAGCUCUUUUCUGGACCUGUUCAAUUGCCUUGAUUUUAUUUUGGGCGGUUGGGUCCCAUAUUGUGCUUGUAUAUUCCACUGCUGGUCUUACCAUGGAUACAUACGCAGCUGCCUUUACAGGUUUUGUACAGCCUUUGAGGUUUCUACGUAUAAAUCCCAACGUUCUGUUUCC